rnacentral:misc_RNA from 1 species
AGUAUAUGGCCACAGGUAUCUUUCCUUCCAUUCUUUACUUUGUUCAAGUUCAUAAAAAAAUUCAUUCUCCACUAUGUGCAUUAACUAUCAGCAUUCUAAUCAAUCAAUUGCUUGUGCAUUGGUUAAAAUGCUUGUCCAUUUGAUAUGAAUUAUGGUUUUUACCUACUUGUAUCUCACUUUGUUUCUUUCUUAUGAAGGUCAUCUA